GGUUCAAAAGUGCAUGCUUUUCCUCUGCUUAUGUGGCUAUGAUGUUCUCAGCAUAGAGUUAACUUUUAUGUAAUCUGCCAAUGUAUAUUGAUACAACUCACUUGGUCUUGGAAGUUCAGCAAUUGCUUCCUGAUGCUCUUUCUUUAUGUCAGAAAACUAUCUCACAAGAUCUGGAGUUGGAAUCACUUUUUCUAGGCAUGUCUCCAUGAUCUGGAGUUGGAGAAUGGUAUUGCUAUUCUGAAUAAAGGUUCUGCCAUUGGUAUUGGAUUUGGAACUUUGGGAUCGAACCUACUUUAGCUACACUUACAUAGGAUCUAGAAAGAAUAAGGGGAUUGAGUUUAUGCUUUCGGUCAGCGGAGGCAGCAUUCUAUCAUGGAUUGGACAUGAUUAUUUUGUUGUGGAUGAUAAGACUGCUGCACAUCAUGAGGCAGUAGGAAACCUAUUACUUCAGAUGGCUGUCAAUUCAUAUAUGUCAUGAUAUAUGUGUUCCUGCUGUGAGAAAUUGGGUGAGGACCUUCUCUUCCUUACUCUCACUUCUAGCUUUGUAAUCAAGACUAAAUAGUGAGAUCUUUUCUAUUCCAUUUCAGUAGAAUAUUUGCUUAAACUAUGUUAUAUGCCUCACUAAUGUAUAAAAAUAAAUUACCUAAGUGUUUGUUUAUCAUUCUGCUAUUGGUUGAUUUGGCUUUUGGAUAGUGUGUUUGAGGUAUAUUAGAUUUGGUAUUGUUUCAUUUGGUUUUGACA